UACAGAGGUCCCGAGCGUUGUUCGGAUUCACUGGGCGUAAAGGGUGCGUAGGUGGCAUGGUAAGUUUGAUGUGAAAGCUCAGGGCUUAACCCUGAAAUGGCAUUGAAUACUACUGUGCUGGAGGUUUGGAGGGGGACUGGAAUUCUUGGUGUAGCAGUGAAAUGCGUAGAUAUCAAGAGGAACACCAGUGGCGAAGGCGAGUCCCUGGACAACACCUGACACUGAGGCACGAAAAGCUAGGGGGAGCAAAACAGG
rnacentral:rRNA from 1 species